AGCGGUUACCGCAAUUGUCAUGUG
rnacentral:siRNA from 1 species